UUUUUUUUUUUGUCUCUGCUCCUUCCUUCUCUUGCACCCGCUCCAGCUCCAGAGCAACGAGCUGCCACUCGUUAAGUGUGUGCCCAUGCUAUUAUCCUGGGUGGCUGAAAACUGUUCUUUCCUUUGUUUUUAGAAGUCUCUCUCUCUUCCCCACAGCCACCUGCAUCCCACACAACAGCUUUAAAGGAGAAAACCCCAUGGAGAAAGAACUGAAACUGAGAGGAGUUCCAAACUAAAAAUAAACCACAGAUCUCAGCAAGGCUCUAGACCCUGGCUGUUGCCCUUGCCAUUGACUUUUCCUUAUUGAAAACUACUCAGAGACCUGAGGAAAGCUUUGUGCUAAUACUGAUAUAAUUGCUCUCAUCGCUGCUACCUGGAGGACCUGAGGGAUCUAAGGCUUAAGAGAAGCAGCCUGACAUGUCCUAGGUCAUAGAGCCGGUCAGUGGAAGGGGAGAGAUUCAAACUAGAACCUCAUGAACUCCCAUCCAUUACACACGGAAAUUUUGCCUGGAGAGCAGGCCCAGGCUGUUACUGGAGCAGUGAUGGAGUCUCACUCUCUUGCCCAGGCUGGAGGGCACUGACAAUCCCGGCUCACUGCAACCUCUGCCUCCUGGGUUCAAGCGAUUCUCCUGCCUCAGGCUCCCUAGUAGCUGGGAAUACAGGCGUGUGCCACCAUGCCUGGCUGAUUUUUUGUAUUUUUAGUAGAGACGGGGUUUCACAGUAUUAGCUAGGAUGGUCUCGAUCUCCUGACCGUGAUCCGCCCACCUGAGCCUCCCAAAGUGCUGGGAUUACAGGCAUUAGCCACCGCACCCAGCAAUUUUUAUCAGUAUCAUUUACAGAGUAAUCUGUGUUGGUCUUAAUGUCCUACCUAAGCUGAUCAACUUUCUGAGGACAGACAUGGUAGUUAUUUCUUUAUCUUCUAACAAACAGAUGUGCACCAAAGUGAGCUCAGUAACUAAAGUGAUUAAAAUAACUAAAGAGACACAUUCUCAUCCCUUAAGUUACUGUUGACAAUUUGAAAGUGUCAGUCCGAAGUCAUAGUUUUAGAAGAAAAUGAGAUUCUUUCUAGCCUAGGAGAGCACUUCUGUUCACCUACUGGGAGUGUUAAUUAACUGAUAUCUACUGUGUCUCCAUCCUCCCUGGAGAGUUAACACCUCUCUUGGCAGUAAACCAAAUGGGUUGGCAUUAAGCCUUGCAAAGAUUAGAUAAAGGCCAGGUUUUUUUAAUACACUUUUUUUAGGGGGAGGAGGGCAGUGUAUUAAUUUUGUUUUUGUGCUAUGUAUGCAGUACAAGGUUUGAUGGUUCUUGAUAUCUGAUUCACUUUUGGGUCCCAGUAGAAGAAAGCAAGGAGCACAGAUUAGAGGGUAUAUUCUUGGGAGAGAGGGAAAAUGAUUUAACCUUGCUGUGGCUCUGUCCUUGCUCAGCCAGAUGCUAAAGAGGCAACUAAAGCCAUUGGAAGGUUAGGAAUCUUCUAGGGUGCAGGGUAGGCACAGUGCACACAGGCUGGUAGUUUCUGAUCUUCUGACUUCCUGAUAUUCUGAGCUCUCUGUUAAUUAGCUCUUAUUCACUUUUUUCAUAGGAUUUGUUAUGAAGAGUUGAGAGCACCCAGAGUCUCAAAUGUCUUUUUAAAAUCAUCAAAUAAAGAUAAGAUUAAACUCA
rnacentral:lncRNA from 13 species